CUGACACAGGUGCUGCAUGGCUGUCGUCAGGCUCGUGUCGUGAGAUGUUGGGUUAAGUCCCGUAACGAGCGCAACCCUUGUCCUUAGUUACCAGCACGUUAUGGUGGGCACUCUAAGGAGACUGCCGGUGACAAACCGGAGGAAGGUGGGGAUGACGUCAAGUCAUCAUGGCCCUUACGGCCUGGGCUACACACGUGCUACAAUGGUCGGUACAAAGGGUUGCCAAGCCGCGAGGUGGAGCUAAUCCCAUAAAACCGAUCGUAGUCCGGAUCGCAGUCUGCAACUCGACUGCGUGAAGUCGGAAUCGCUAGUAAUCGUGAAUCAGAAUGUCACGGUGAAUACGUUCCCGGGCCUU
rnacentral:rRNA from 1 species